ACGCUCGACACCUACGGGGGCAGCAGUCGGGAAUAUUGCGCAAUGGAGGAAACUCUGACGCAGUGACGCCGCGUAUGGGAAGAAGGUUUUCGGAUUGUAAACCAUUUUAGACAGGGAAGAAAAAAGACAGUACCUGUAAAAUAAGCUCCGGCUAACUACGUGCCACAGCCGCGGUAAUCUGAGCGGGCUGGCAAGGC
rnacentral:rRNA from 1 species